UUUACUUGCUAUGGUGCUAGAAGCAAAAUUUCCAGAUCCAGGCAUGAGACGCUUCCAUCAUCUGUACUGAGCCUGGCUAAAUCCAAUCCCAGAUCAAGAAGGGUUAAAUUCACCCUGACGAAGAGAGCCACACAAGGCCUAUCCAGAUUGGUUAAGAGGACAACUACUUGCAUUUGAAACAUGCCAGGCAUGGACAUUACUGCAUUAAGAGGCAUUCCCUUAUAAAUGACAAGCGUGGUUUCAGCAGCAAAGGCAUUGUUCUCCAGGGCAGGGUUGAGUGGUGGAAAAGGGCUGGCUAGGAGCCAGCCUUUAAAAUAACUCAGAUUUGGAAUGGUUUAAACAAAUGGAUUUUUUUAAAGGAUUUCUGAUCUUAUCAUUUUAACUGCUGAGCACCGAAUGAGAACCAGCAGAAAGAAGAGUGGCUCUCCUCAUCUUUUAUCCGUGAACAUAUCAUUAGCUUGGCAUCGCAGCCUACUUUCCUAAAUUACUGCAUGUCUUUUGUAAGAGAAUCUUGUGACGACUCGGUGCGGUAAGGAGCUGCCCAAGCUGAAGUUAUGGUCAUUAAAACAUUUACAUCAUCAGGACUUGGUGGUGCAAAAAUGAAAGUAGGAAAUGCUCAUCUCAAGAUGAGACACCUGUCUGUCUGCAUAAGGAAGUGACACUGCAAUCUGCAGUCAAACGCUGACUACGCCCCUCACAAAACCCAUCAGCGAGCAGGGCGGAAACUGAUGGGCAUUAGUUUGCUGAACCUCACACUGAAGACUGGGAGACAGUGAAGAUUCCCCAGGGAUGUGUGCUAGAGUGAGGCUGAAAUUCACCUCUGAAGAGGGUCAGCUCAAGGUCUAUGUGCCACUUAACCUUAGUUACACCCUGAAAGUGGAGCAUCAGCCUUGUGCUGUCCCUCAGCACAGAGGCAAAUUUCACCCUAAGCAAACAAACAAGGGCAGGGCUGUUUUAAUUGUGUGUAAUGAUUUGUAGGGUGCACUUAGGGGUACUGUAGUAUAUUUUGCCAGAGUGAUGACCUGUAGGUCACUCAAGAGCUCAGUACAACAUUCUGAAUCUGCUAUUCAAUCUUUUCUGCGGAGUGGGGACCAGCUGGCAU